rnacentral:lncRNA from 1 species
GUGCUUGCAGGCUUUGAAGAACAAGCUGCCAUGAAUCCUGCAGCUACAAGGAAAUGAACUCUAUUAACUUGAGUGAGCUUAAAACUAGAUCCUUCCCCAGUCAAGCCUCCAGGUGAGAAUUCAGUCCUGGCUGGCACCUGGAUUGCAGCUUACAGAAGACCCAGCUAAGGCCAUGUCUGGACUUUAAAUCCACAGGAACUGCAAGAGAACUGUUUGAUACAGGCAACCAGGACUGUAUGAGAGGCUGGAAAUGUAUCUAUCAGUACUACUUAUCUGUAGUAAAGACUUUUUUAAGCUCAUUUAUGAUUGCACAACCUAAAUAACCAUACAUGGCUGGGCCUGGGAAAGGCAGAAAGGCAGAUGGAUGGUAUCAGAAGUGGGACCUGCAGUGGGGCAUCUAGCAACCCCCAGGAGCAUUAAGUGACAAGGCUUGGGACCCACCGGGCCCAGGGUGUCCAUUGUUCUCUCGAAGCAACUGAGAAUUGUGGAUAUUCUUCAUUAUUCCAUCAUCAUCUCAAACCUCUUGGGUAUAGUG